CCUACGGGUGGCAACAGUGGGGAAUAUUGGGCAAUGGGCGCAAGCCUGACCCAGCAAUGCCGCGUGAAGGAAGAAGGCUCUCGGGUUGUUAACCUUCUUGACAGGGGAAGAGCAGAAGACGGCAUCCUGAAAACAAGCCACGGCUAAAUACGUGCCAGCCGCCGCGGUCAAACGCAGGUGGCAAGCGUUGUCCGGAUUUACUGGGUGUAAAGGGCGUGUAUGCGGGAAGGCAAGGCAGAUGUGAAAUCUGGAGGCUCAACCCCCAAAUUGCAGUUGAAACUGGUUUUCUUGAGUACUGGAGAGGCAGGCGGAAUGCGUGGUGUAGCGGUGAAAUGCGUAGAUAUAACGAAGAACACCGGUGGCGAAGGCAGUCUGCUGGACAGCAACUGACGGUGAGGCGCGAAAGCGUGGGGAGCAAACAGGAUUAGAUACCCCUGUAGUC
rnacentral:rRNA from 1 species